rnacentral:rRNA from 1 species
AAAUUGAAGAGUUUGAUCAUGGCUCAGAUUGAACGCUGGCGGCAGGCCUAACACAUGCAAGUCGAACGGUAACAGGAAGCAGCUUGCUGUUUCGCUGACGAGUGGCGGACGGGUGAGUAAUGUCUGGGAAACUGCCUGAUGGAGGGGGAUAACUACUGGAAACGGUAGCUAAUACCGCAUAACGUCACAAGACCAAAGAGGGGGACCUUCGGGCCUCUUGCCAUCGGAUGUGCCCAGAUGGGAUUAGCUAGUAGGUGGGGUAACGGCUCACC